CCUACGGGUGGCAGCAGUGGGGAAUAUUGGGCAAUGGGCGCAAGCCUGACCCAGCAACGCCGCGUGAAGGAAGAAGGCCCUCGGGUUGUAAACUUCUUUUAUCAAGGACGAAACAAAUGACGGUACUUGAUGAAUAAGCCACGGCUAACUACGUGCCAGCAGCCGCGGUAAUACGUAGGUGGCAAGCGUUAUCCGGAUUUAUUGGGUUUAAAGGGUGCGUAGGCGGAUUUUUAAGUCAGCGGUAAAAUGUCCGGGCUCAACCCGGGCCGGCCGUUGAAACUGGGGAUCUUGAGUGGGCGAGAAGUAUGCGGAAUGCGUGGUGUAGCGGUGAAAUGCAUAGAUAUCACGCAGAACUCCGAUUGCGAAGGCAGCAUACCGGCGCCCGACUGACGCUGAGGCACGAAAGCGUGGGGAUCGAACAGGAUUAGAUACCCCAGUAGUC
rnacentral:rRNA from 1 species